CUACGGGAGGCAGCAGUGGGGAAUAUUGGACAAUGGGGGAAACCCUGAUCCAGCAAUGCCGCGUGUGUGAAGAAGGCCUGCGGGUUGUAAAGCACUUUCGGUUGGGAGGACUGCUUCUAGCACUAAUAUUGUUGGAAGUUGACGUUACCUUCAGAAGAAGCACCGGCUAACUCCGUGCCAGCAGCCGCGGUAGUACGGAGGGUGCAAGCGUUAAUCGGAAUUACUGGGCGUAAAGCGCGCGUAGGCGGCUAGAUCAGUCGGGUGUGAAAGCCCCGGGCUCAACCUGGGAACGGCAUUUGGAACUGGUGAGCUAGAGUUAGGUAGAGGGGAGUGGAAUUUCAGGUGUAGCGGUGAAAUGCGUAGAUAUCUGAAGGAACACCAGUGGCGAAGGCGGCUCCCUGGACCCAAACUGACGCUGAGGUACGAAAGCGUGGGUAGCAAACAGGAUUAGAUACCCCAGUAGUC
rnacentral:rRNA from 1 species